GUCGCUGGAGUUUGUCCCAUGAAAAAGGAAUAGUGGAUCUGAACCCUAAAUAACUUCCGCAAUCCACAUGAAGAUGUGGCUAGGAAGUGUGGCCUACAGCCAGGCGAGUGGAGGACCAUUCUCCACCUUUAAAGCACACACGUCCCGACCGCAAGGUAAGUGUGACACACGAGCUCGGAAGAGUUCUGUGAGUAGGGUUAUCGUCACUGUGGAUUCACACGAAAUCAUUUAAACCUGACACCUUUUCUCUCUAUGCAAGUCAUCCCAUGAGACAGCUAUUCCAGUGGCGAGCUCUACAUAGCUGUCAAGGUUGUUAAGUUAAAUCUGAAGUGGAAUCCAUCAUAAAAUAUUAAUCACACAGGACUGCAGGUGUGCCGACACCUGUCAGUCUACCCCUUAUGUGUUCACAUUUGUUGGCUCUGAUCCUACACGUUACAUAUAUGCACAGUGAAAGAAGUAAAUGUUAAUGAUAGUAAAGAGGUUAUUAAUGUAGUAUGGCUUUUAAUGCUCAAUGGACAGUGUGGUAAGAACUCUACGUAUAUUGCCCAUAAUUAUCCUUCCCCAAAACUUUAUCUUAAAGUUCUACUAUUCCCAUCCCCAUUUUAUGUAAGAGAAAACUGAGGACUAGUGACAUGUCCAAGGUCCAAGUUGACAGAAGAGUGACACCCAGACUCAAAUCUAUCUGAAUCUAUCAAAGACUGUAUGACAUUUUAGCUUCUCCAUCAAACUUGAUUUUUUUGUUUUAUUCAGCGCCAAAGGAGUG
rnacentral:lncRNA from 1 species